UAUGUGAUCGUCUCUCGCAUAUCAAUAAGCGGAGGAAAAGAAACUAACAAGGAUUCCCCUAGUAACGGCGAGUGAGGCGGGAAGAGCUCAAAUUUGAAAUCUUAAAGGGUUUCCCUUUACGAAUUGUAGUUUAAAGAAGUGUUUUCUGUUGAGGUUUUGGUAAAAGUUCUUUGGAAUAGGACAUCAUAGAGGGUGAGAAUCCCGUAUUUGACCUUUACUUUCAACUUUGUGAUACACUUUCAAAGAGUCGGAUUGUUUGGGAAUGCAGUCCAAAAUGGGUGGUAAAUUUCAUCUAAAGCUAAAUAUUGGCGAGAGACCGAUAGCGAACAAGUACCGUGAGGGAAAGAUGAAAAGAACUUUGAAAAGAGAGUUAAACAGUACGUGAAAUUGUCAAAAGGGAAGCGUUUGACACCAGUGUUGUUUUUCUGAAAAUCAAUUAAAGAACUGUUUAUGCUAAGCUGUUUAGACUUUAUCAGCUAUCUGUUUAGUUUUGAGCUUUUCUUUAAUGCACUUUUCAGUUAACAAGUCAACAUCAAUUUCUUUUGCUGUAAAAAAGCUUGAGGAAGGUGGCUUGAGAUUCGUCUUAAGUGUUUAUAGCCUCUUGCCUAUGCAGUCGGAGAGAUUGAGGUCUGCAGCGUAGAUCCUUCGGGGCUAAAUGCAUUUGUGCUAAGUUAUAGCAUUUUAUAGACAACUUGUUGACUAUGAUUUGUCUUGUAGCUUACUCGCUUAUGUUAUUUUACCUACGCUUAGGAUGUUGAUAUGCAUGACUGAUAU
rnacentral:rRNA from 1 species